UGGAUUGAGUUAAAACUAUUUUAUUUAACUCUAUAAAAAUAAAGAGUUCGUGUCAAAACAGAGUGUUACCACUUUUUAAAAAAAAAUUAACUACAGUGUUUUGUUAGUGGAGUUUGUUAACUCUUAGGGUGUUAAAUAGAGAAGACCUCCCCCUCUUUACAGCACACACUGAACCGUGUUUUUGGAUGAUGCAGUUCAAGCAGAAGAUCAUCUCUUUCACUGUAAAUGGAGAUUUGCUUUGGGGACUUUGGAGGAGCACAGAAAUAGGCCUACAUGAAAAUUUCUUCAGACAAAGAGCAAUUUUAUAACA